rnacentral:rRNA from 1 species
GAAUUCACUAGUGAUUCAGGCCUAACACAUGCAAGUCGAGCGAUUCUCUUCGGAGAAGAGCGGCGGACGGGUGAGUAACGCGUGGGUAACCGGCCCUGUACACGCGGAUGACAUACCGAAAGGUAUGCUAAUACGAGAUAAUAUACUUUUAUCGCAUGGUAGAAGUAUCAAAGCUCCGGCGGUACAGGAUGGACCCGCGUCUGAUUAGCUAGUUGGUAAGGUAACGGCUUACCAAGGGGACGAUCAGUAGCCGACCUGAGAGGGUGAUCGGCCACAUUGGAACUGAGACGCGGUCCAAACUCCUACGGGAGGCAGCAGUGGGGAAUAUUGCAAAGGGGGCGAAAGCC